GACGAACGCUGGCGGCGUGCUUAACACAUGCAAGUCGAACGGAAAGGCCCUGCUUUUGUGGGGUGCUCGAGUGGCGAACGGGUGAGUAACACGUGAGUAACCUGCCCUUGACUUUGGGAUAACUUCAGGAAACUGGGGCUAAUAUCGGAUAGGAGCUCCUGCUGCAUGGUGGGGGUUGGAACGUUUCGGCGGUUGGGGAUGGACUCGCGGCUUAUCAGCUUGUUGGUGGGGUAGUGGCUUACCAAGGCUGUGACGGGUAGCCGGCCUGGGAGGGUGACCGGCCACAUUGGGACUGAGGUACGGCCCAGACUCCUACGGGAGGCAGCAGGGGGGAAUAUUGCACAGUGGGCGGGAGCCUGAUGCAGCGGCGCCGCGUGCGGGAUGACGGCCUUCGGGUUGUAAACCGCUUUCGCCUGUGACGAAGCAUGAGUGACGGUAAUGGGUAAAGAAGCACCGGCUAACUACGUG
rnacentral:rRNA from 1 species